rnacentral:tRNA from 1 species
UCCGUAGUAGUGAAAUGGUAUCACUCAACUUUGCCAAAGUUGCAGCGCGAGUUCGAUUCUCGUCUACGGGAC